UGAUUAGCUAGUUGGUGAGGUAAAGGCUCACCAAGGCGACGAUCAGUAGCUGGUCUGAGAGGACGACCAGCCACACUGGAACUGAGACACGGUCCAGACUCCUACGGGAGGCAGCAGUGGGGAAUUUUGGACAAUGGGCGAAAGCCUGAUCCAGCAAUGCCGCGUGAGUGAAGAAGGCCUUCGGGUUGUAAAGCUCUUUUGUCAGGGAAGAAACGGCGCCGGCUAAUAUCCGGCGCUAAUGACGGUACCUGAAGAAUAAGCACCGGCUAACUACGUGCCAGCAGCCGCGGUAAUACGUAGGGUGCAAGCGUUAAUCGGAAUUACUGGGCGUAAAGCGUGCGCAGGCGGUUUUGUAAGUCUGUCGUGAAAUCCCCGGGCUUAACCUGGGAAUUGCGAUGGAGACUGCAAGGCUAGAAUCUGGCAGAGGGGGGUAGAAUUCCACGUGUAGCAGUGAAAUGCGUAGAGAUGUGGAGGAACACCGAUGGCGAAGGCAGCCCCCUGGGUCAAGAUUGACGCUCAUGCACGAAAGCGUGGGGAGCAAACAGGAUUAGAUACCCUGGUAGUCCACGCCCUAAACGAUGUCUACUAGUUGUCGGGUCUUAAUUGACUUGGUAACGCAGCUAACGCGUGAAGUAGACCGCCUGGGGAGUACGGUCGCAAGAUUAAAACUCAAAGGAAUUGACGGGGACCCGCACAAGCGGUGGAUGAUGUGGAUUAAUUCGAUGCAACGCGAAAAACCU
rnacentral:rRNA from 1 species